GCUGCCCUCGCUGGGCACAGCCACCGCAGCUGCCACAGCCCCUGUCACCCCUCCCACGGGAAGAGCAAGACCAGGCCUGGGCUCAGCCUCCGGAUGGGAAUGGACAGCCCAAGAAAGGUUGAGACAGGAUUGCUCGGGCUUUAACCAGCUUUGCAGGUUGCUUCCCAGCUCUGCACAUGGUGGUGCGUAACUUCAACGCCUGGUGUAACCUCGUCUGCCCAGAAGAAAACCAGCAGGAACUGGUGAGGCAUCCGGCCCAGCGCCCUCCAGGGUGCCUCUGGCGCCGGGAGGCGUAGGCGGGCGCGGCUCCCGGGGUGACAGACUAGGGCUCCAUCGAUGUCCGUCGGUCAUCCUCAUGCGGGCCCCGCUCCGGAGCGGCCCCGGAGGGCGCGGGGGCUGCGCGGGGCCGCCCUCACCGCGGCCGCCCAGCGGGUGGCGCUGGCGAGUCGCCCACGGGGCGCGGCGGGGGCUGCGCGGGAGCGCGCCGGGAGAGCAUCGGGAGCGCGCCGGGAACGCGCCGGGAGCGCAUCGGGAACGCGCCGGGAGCGGAGCCGGGAGCGCGCCGGGAGCGCGCCGGGAGCGCGCCGGGAGCGGAGCCGAGAGCGCGCCGGGAGCGCGCCGGGAGCCGGGUCUGGCGCGGCGGCCCCGUCGUGGGUGGCGGGAGGCUGCGGAGAAGAGAUUGAAAGUGUGGGAACUCAAACGCCAUGGGAAAGCUGUUUUCCAAUACAAUGUUUGCUGCACUCCCCAAAGCGCUGGAAAUCUGCAGCUAUGACAAGAGACAGGGUUCUUUUUUUUUUUUAAUCACACGGUUACUUUGAUGAUACCUCAAGUGCAACUCUGCCUUCGCUAGUGGUAACAUGCACCAGUAUGGCACCUACCUCUCCUGAGGGGUCAAAAAUUACACUGGAGAAGAGGAGCCCUAACUAGACGUGCCAGUAGGACUGUGCUGCUUGCACUGUGCUGUGACAUGCACCAGCUAGCAAGAUGUCUCAGCCUGAAGAAGCCAUCAGAGCACGACUCCUCUCUUGUUUGCUUUUUUCCUGAAGGCCUCUCCACAAUACUUUCUGCUGGUGCUUCACACUGCAAGCCAGAGGUGCAGUCAGCUGGAUGUGCUGUGGGGCACAUGCAUCCUAAGGUGGGCUGCACCAAGUCCCCUGUGACUUCCUUUUGCUUCCUGGCUUGUUCCUCGCGGGCUGAAAGCUCACAUGAGGGACACCAGUUAAAUAUGGUGUCUGGUGCACUUUUUAACAAAGAGCCCACCUUUCUUCCCUGCAGUGGAUGGUACUCUUGCCAAGGACUGUCCAGGUGUACUACUUGAGACAGUCAUGUCAUGUUUCUGAAGGAGCCAUAAGGAAUUACUUCAGUACAGAAAGACAAUCCACAGAGACAUUCUAUCUCCUGUUACUACAUACCAUCACACCCCGGAAUCUAUAUAGAAAAUACUGAGUGAUUGCUGCUUAAGCUCAUAUCUAGCUGUAAAUUCAGUGCUGCCUUCCAAACCUUUGUCAAAGACCUGAUACCCAGGUCCCUGUUAAAGGAGACACUGUUAAAGGAUGGAAUAUAUUGCAUGGCUCUGCCUCAUCACAAGCAGCAUGGUAUAAUGGGUCUGUGGCAAGGUAUACAGAUCAAAGCCCAGAAGCAGUGAUUAGCAAAGAAGGGUGAAUCUCCAGAAGUCUGAAUCAAGUAGUCACUAAAAGCAUUGAAUACUGCUGAGAAUUUUAUGAAAAGCAUGAAAGUAUACUCUGAUGAGACUGCUCACUAUUUUCAUCUCUAAUAACAUGAGAAAGACUAUAAAAAAAAAAAGGUGUUUUUCAUUAGAUCUUCUGCUACAGGUUCUCAUUACCAUGAGAAAUGUGAAGCUGCUAAAGAAGAAGAAGAAGAAGAAGGAAAACAAGCUGUUGUGCAACUUCUGUGAAACUUUGAAUUUAUUUGACUGAGGUCAGGACUGCAAGUUAACCCUUGUACCAGAAACAACCUACCUACCUUGUAGUCUGCCUGCCUGACAUUGCUCUUAUUCUUGGUGGAAAAACAAAGAGCAAGACCAACAGACUUCCCAGAAGCAGGCUUAAUGAAAAUUGAGGGGAAAUCUCUGUGGGCUGCAACUCAAGUGUCUAUUAGUGAGAAGGAGGAGGAAGACUCAGCACCCCAGAAUGCUGGAAAGGGAGGCAAGCCUGGGGGGUGGCACUUUGCCAGCCACAGCCAUGGAGGAAAGCCUGGAACAAGCAGUCCUGAACGGAGCUCAGAUGCAGUGACCUCUGUGAUCAGGCCAUGUGUCACAAGCUAAAGUGAGUCCACUGACAAAACCUGGGGGCCCGCAUUUUCCCUGAUCUUCCUUUUUGCUUUUGCUGCUGUGAAGCUUUUCCUGAUCACCUUUCAGGUAGGCUCUGGCUUUCUCAAUCCUGGUACUGUGUGCUUGGGCAGUAUCACUGUGGUCCUCCUAGGUCAUCUCUCUCUGCCUCUACUUCUUUAACUGAAGUUUAAAAUGCUAUCUUUUUAAAAAAGAUAGCAGAAAACAUUCCAGAGAGGGAAGAAUAAGCCUGACAAACUUAUGGUAACUCACAUUGCUGAAGAGGCACAUGGACCACAUUUCCUGAGUGUUGAUGGCUCCUGUCAUGUACAAUGUUGUCCAGGUGAGGAAUGACAAAAAUAUAAGAAAACAAAGCCAGAAACAUCAUUCAAAGAUGUCUCUGUAUGCAGGCUUAGAGACUGCAAAGGCUCCAAGACUUCACUAAAACAAUGGCCUGAGCUGAAAUAACGCAUGUGUGAUAUGUCAAACACAAGAUCAUGAAACCUUGUGAUCUUUUAGAGGGAUAUGGGCUGGGAAAGAUGAAAUAUUCCUGAAAGGUUUGGCAUUAAAAGUCACACCCAUUAUUGUGACUUUUGCUCAUGAAUAUGGCAAGAAUUGAUCAUAACACAUAUUGUUAGGCAUGUAAGCUAUUUAGCAGGAAAAUUGAAAUUUUUGUUUUUCUUCUUUGAAGAAGGAAAUUCCACAUGGGAAUACUGAAUAUUGGGUUGUUCUCCUUGAAGAUGCUGGAUAAGGAAAGGAUAUAAAGAGGAUAAAUUGAGAAUUUUUUUUCCACUUAUUUUGUUUUAAAAAAAUAAAUCUUUGUUUUAGUGGAUUCCAAGUUAAUUAUUUUUCAGAAAUAUUCAGAGGAGAGACGGUGUGCUUAACACACACUAAAAUAGUUGAUGAUUUCCUGAAGCACAAACCUUGGAGGGUGUAGACACUGCUUAAAUCUCUUUUCUCAAGGUUUGGGGGCAGAGCUUGAGCCAGGUGUCUGAACCCCCAGCUAAGCAGCUACACCAAGAUGUGCUUCUAAAGGAGUUCUCUUUCUCUUUGGAGGGAAGCUUGGUCUGAGCUUCUGAACAGGAGUUUUUCAGGAAAGGUCUAAUUGUAGUAAAGAUUUUCUUGUUUCAACAAGUAGUAAUUUUCCAAUUUAAAACAUGUGCUGUGGACUAAGUUUCCUGUCUUACUCCAAGGCUGGGUGCCUUCAGAAUCUGGAGAUGUUCAAGAAGGUGGAAAGUGCUUCAUAAAAGGGGCAGAGGGCCCAUCAUCUCAGGCGACUAGACAGCAAACAGCAGGAGAUGCAACAGCCUAUGCCAGGGCUGUUUUAUAGUCACCCAGAACUGAGCAGAGCUUGUUGCUUAUUGCAGCAGUUUGGUUUGGGGAAUACUGUUGGUCUCUUUAGGUUGUUGUCCUGUCCUGAAGGACGCAGUAUUUUCCAGCCCAGGAGAGAUUGAUGAGAGACUGAGAGAGCCGAGCUACGACUCCAUGAAGAAGACUUCCUGAAUUUGCCAUCUUUUCAGAACAUGCCUGGACCCGAGGCGAGAUCCUCAGCUGGGAUAAAUCAGCUCCGCUUCUCUGUGGCCAAGGGAGGCAGGAAGAUGCACAGUGGUUCCGGAUACAACCCUCCUUGUUUAGAGACUGGCCUGCUUAUUUUCCCUGGUAAAAUUGAGACCACCAUUUUCAUGUGCUCAAUCAUGAAGUAUGUGAACAUUUUUCAAAAGCACAACUUCCCAAUGACCCAGAGUGCCUUUAAAUAAAGAAGUGCUAUUGGGGCCUCGGCAGUGUGAAAGGAGCAGUUGAAAUCCCUGUCUUGCCCAGCUGUUAAACCUGUGUUUGAUUUCUGAAAAACCUAUAGAGAAAAAGGGUUAAAGGAGACCAUACAAGAAGUAGAAGAAAUAAAUUGAAUGCACAUGUGCAAUCAUUAUUCAUACUAAGGUUCCUUGUAUUACUUCAUAACACAGCUGUAUACACAAAAAAGCCAGUCCAGUUUGGUUUCUUCCUAUUUGAAUCUUAUUAAUUUCUGUUUAAUGGAACACAAAUGUUUGUGCUCUUCAUUUUGACGAAUGCAGCCUCGUGGUGUAUUUGUUAAGCCUUAGCUAGCACGGUUGUGACCAUCUAAUACAAAUGUCUCUGGGCCUUUCAUGGCUCCUGACAGGACAUCUUUUGAGCAUGACAGUUGCCAUGGGGACGGGUGCAAUGCCUAUUUGGAAGGAAAAUUGGGAGCAAUGCUCAUUACGUCAAAAACUACAUUGGGGAGGGAGGGAAGGAGAAUGUUUGCUUCUUGUGCUGACACUUAGCUGCUUGUUUUACCCACUACCCACACACUUCCAUCAAACAAUAUCUCUUUCAAACGCAGAAGUCAAAGUUUGCAUCUCCUAUCAUUCCAGCUGGAACAGGCAAGGGCUGUGUGAAAUGAAUAUCAUCGUGCUCGGGGCCGGGGCACUGCCUGGCUGGCUCUAUCUGUCACUUCGUAACACAGCAACACUGAGCCCUCUCAGCUUUCCCCUCCUCCCACCCUUGGCCAAAUGCUUUUCAGAGCUCCCUGGGGCACGGCGGGGACACCAGGGUGCUGUGGGGAGGGGGCAGCUGGGGAGGUGUAACCAGUUUGCUCAAAACCAUCGGAUUUAUUGCGGGUUUACUCUGGUGAGAGAAGGAUCAGUGUCUGUGUGUUUCAUAAUUUCCAGAGAUAGGGAAGGUGGCAAUAAAAAAUACAAAGAUUGUUUUAUCCUCCCCAUCUCCUCAGGACACCAUGAGAAGUCAAGGAAAAAAUACCCCUUUUUGUACAAAGAGUCCAGAGCUUGCUCUUUCCAUGUAUUCCUUAAGUCUGCACAUUCCUUUCAUUAGAAAUUAGCCAUUGCUAUAUUUUUCACGGACCUGUUCUGUUGUCCUAGACUUUCAAAAAACCCCUAAACCGACACUGAGAAAACCCCCAAACCCCACAAAAACUGGAUACCAGCCAAAGAGUUGAAGGGAGAGAUGAGGCAGACUCGCCAUGAGGCCCAGGUUUGAACAGGAGGUGUUUUCAAGGUGCUCAAAUGUCUGACUCUGGGUGCUGGUGUAAUAUUAAAAAAUCAUCUUGUUGAAAUACAGGAUUCAUUGAUGCAACACCUUGCUGAUAUGUGUGGUGUGAAUUGCCAGGAUGGGAGGGAUGCUCAGUCCCUGAGAUACCUGCGUCUUGAAGGAUUUGCCUUAAGGUUCUGCUUUGAUUUCUGUGUUUUACAGGGGCCAGGUGUUCAUGGCAGCACCCAGGGGGUUGCAUUUCUCCUGCCCUCAGGAUCAUACAGACAAUCCAGAACUUAUUUAAUCCAUGCUCUAGACUUCUUGGAAUUACAACUUCCCUAGCCUCUGGGGGUGUUGACAAUCCAGAUAGCCGCAUCACAUUCCAUGUUCUCCAAAAUACUUGUGAAAAGAUUCAAGUGAAGAUGCCACACAAGCAGAUAGCACUGGCCAUCUGGAGAGCUCCGGAUUUCACCCAGAACCUUGGCUUGGACAGCUCUGGUGUUGUAAGGAUAUCUGCAUGGUGGUAUGCCAUGGUGCAAUGUCUACAUUCAUGACGUAAAAACAUCCACGUGAGAGACCUGAUGAUGAGCAUGUCCAGUGCAGUGUCUGGGAUGGUCAGCAAAUAUUAGAUUCAUCUUUUCUGGCAUUUCUGCUGCUGGGCUUGUUAGGAAGCACAGCAGUUUUGCUGUACAGGUGGUGUCAGAGCAGUAGAGAGCCUGGGCAAAGGGCUCAGGCCCUUUGCUGGGUGCCUCUUUGCUAAACUGAACCAAGCAGGGCCCUGCUUUCUUGGGGUCUUGGACAACUGCUUGGAGUUCUAACCUAUUAAGCCAGCUCUGUCUGUAACUGUUUUCGUCUUCUCUGCACACCAGGACUCUGAAAGACAAACUCCUAAGACCUUGUUUUGGAGCAGCAGACCUUGGGAUCAGAUUCAGACAGCUUUCUACAGGCUGCCAGUUGGUGUUAUGCAGUUCAGUUAUUUCACCAGCUACUUUGGUGGGAAUGAGGGUCAUUUCACCCCUCACUGAUUUGGGCUGCUGGGACAUGGCUACCUUUCUAGACAAAGGAGGGCUAUAGCCAUGAUGGCAAUUUUUUAAGGAAGUUUUCAUGUAAGUGUUAUGUAAGCACGGGUUGAUUAUUCUUUCCAACUUUUUAAAUUUAUGUAUGAUAUUCACUGCUAUCAUCUUUAUGGCACAGAGCUUUACGGCUGUGAUUUUGAAUAGUGUUACACAUUGUGCAUUUGUUUUGUUUUCCAGAAUGACUGGAAUGACUUGGAGUCUGUUUAUAUGCAGUUCUCACAGAUGCAGAUAGGUCUAUGUUGCUUUUCUACUCUAGUCAGUGUACUCUACCAGCAUUUCAACGUCUGCUAGUCAAUAACACUUAUUACAGUAAAAGGGAAACCUGUGAUGAUCUUCCUGAGUACUGUGCCAGGUGAAUGGCAAACACAAGAAGUGUCUUGACUAGAUAGAGGAUCUUCACACAUUUUGACAGAUGCACUAUAUACACAGAAAAUGUAGUGGUAUUUUUCCAGCCAUGAGAGUCUCACCCUCUGCAUGAACAUCAAAGGGAACAUACCCGGAAUAUUCAGCUAGAUGAAGAGUGUGAAUUCAUCACAGAUUCCUCCUCAGCAUCUGCCUAGACUUAAAAUAAGCAGAUCCAGAAAGAUUACUGCGUCAGAAGCGGGGAGAAUCCUGCCGAAGGUGAAUUGCCUCUUUCCUGAAUGCUGCCAAGAGGUGGGUGAGGCAACUCUACAUAACCUCUAUGAUGCUUCUGCUUGGUCUUUCAGCUAGUCGUAGACUGGGAUGACCUUGAAAGGCUGAUAACUCCCUCACUGGUGGCACUGGAAGGCAUUUGUAGAAGAGUACUGACUUUUCUAUAGCUCUUCCUGUUUUUUGUACAAUUGAUGGAGGUGAGCACUCUUAGCACUCAAAUCCUGCAGGGCAUCUGUUUUUCACUCAUGUGAAAUCUAUAUGUAAUUAUCAGCUAUUACUAACUCUUAGUUAUGGCAUAUGUACAAGUAAUACAAUCUGUAUUGUAAAUGGCAUAUUUGUGAUGCACAGCACUUUUUCAGUACAGGAGACAGUCAGGACCUGGCUGCAGGCUUAUAGUCAGAGCAUGAACAGACCAAACUGAGCUGUGACUGUCAGAAAGGGAAGAAUGUUAAAAGAAAUAAUCAAAUUUUCCUACUUUAGAAAAGCAGAGCGUCUCACAAAACAACACAGGGAAAAGCCUCAAAGCCAUACUGUACUCACCUGGCUUGCAAGAAAAGUCCCGGAGUAGUGCUGCCUGUCAUUUAUUCAUAUGGAUCUUGACAUAUUAAUAAUGCUAUGUAGAGAUGACAGUCCACUAUUCUGCAUGGGGAAGACAGACGUGCAGAAGUUUUUACACCUUAUUAACAAAUGCAGUGUGGAGAAGGAAAUGUAUUGCCCAGGAAGAGUGCUUCAACAUGGUUGAGACCUGGACACAGCCUUGCUACAUCCAGCUUUCGAAAACCUCUGGCUUCCUUUCCACCCAGUUGUUAUCCCUAGGGGUCCUUGCCUGUAGUUAAAGAGCUGAGCCUGUUGUUUUGUGGUCAGUACCAGGUUAUUAUGUUCUCUCCUAGUUUCAACCAAGGAUUUUUAUUAUUAUAUAUUUACAAAUCUUCUAUAUUUUGAAAGUAAAUUUUUUUUUUUUUAUUUCUAGUGCCAAGAAAUAAAGACAUUUCAAAUGGAAAAUACCUGAGUUUUUACAUGUAAACAUAUACAUGGCUUUGACCUUUGGAACUUCUGAGAAACAGUCCUGGUUUGUAAAUACAGUGAGUUGGAAUAAGUAGCUCUGUAGUGAGUAAUACCAUUAUCUCAUCAAGGAAACUCCUCACAUAAAAAAAUUAAGGACAUACAGAAGUGUUUAUGGGGUCAGGGUUUCAGAGCACAUGAUGAGUGCAAUGGAAAUCCCUAAACCAAAGAGACAAGUGUCCACACCUUUGAUCCAUGAAUUACACAGCCCUUUGCAUUCACUAACAACCAGGCAUCAGCCUUGUGUAACAACCCUCACAAAUAUUUUCAUAGUCCUUACUUUACAAGUGGUAAAGAUUCAGUGGAGAAUACAGUAAUUAUUCUGAUUUAUGACUGGCUCAGAGAAGUGAAGCGGCUGUGUCUGCUCCAAGGUAAGGAAAGGGCUUUGAAACAAAACAAAACAAAACAAAACAAACAAAAACAAACAAAUAAAACCUGACAAACCUUCCAUCAGUCUUUGCUUCUCAAUUAGCUGGCUGAUGGUGCUCCAGCCUACAAUGAAACUAUCUAAAUGCUAGAUAUCUAGCCAAGGCUGUUGUUUGGGUUCUCCUUGUAGGCGAUGAGCAGACACUCAGCAGCCUUCCUGCUGGACUGGAAUGCCUAAGCUUGGGACAAGAGACAGCCUUACAGGUGUUAUCUCUCUCUGCAUUGAUUAUAACUGGGUGAGUGACUCAGAAAGGACAUUAAACCGAAGAGCAGCUAAAACCAAGCUGAAGGAGUUUCUGUUCUUACUAAGCAAGUUUUGACCUUGGAUUCCCCACAGUUGACAGCAACCAUGGAGCCCUUCAGAGCCUUUGGAGGCACCUCCUGACCAAUGGGGCACAAUGAGCUCAAAGCUUCUGCACAAAGACAGCCCAUGUCUUUAAGUGCUCUGUUUUCAGGAGCAUCCAGAGCUUAAGCACAACCUCUUUAAACAUGGGUUGUAUGUCGAAAAUGUGAUAUGAUCUUGGACAUCUGGCAAGUAUAUGUAUGUGCUUAAUUGAGAGAAUAAACAUUCCUCAAAAUUCAGAGUCCUGAGAUUGCAACCUUGACUUUAACCUUUUGGCUUUCUUCACAUCCUAGUAAAUGCAAUCUAUCAUGCAUAGCACAUCAG